CAUAAAUCCAGUAUAAUACAACAGUAAAAAAAAAUAACCUCUGAAUUUGGAACCUGUCAUUCUCAUAUUAAUAUUUAUUAUGUUUCCUCGUGUUCACGCCAAUCUUUGUUAAAUAUUUGUGUAAUAAUAAAAUGGAGUGGGGGUGAUAAAUAGAACAGAAUUGCUGUGAUUUUACUCUAUGUUAUUAAAUGUAACACAAAAAACAGGAAUUAUGAUUUCAGUCUGGCGUCACUAGGUCUCUUUAAGCGUAGGUACGUAUUAGAAAAAUUUAUACCCGCCUGGAAUUCAACAACGGUACAUCACUCAACAAAUCGCGCACCGGACGACUUAUCCCUUAGGCCACGACGACUUCAAGUAUUCAAUUGAUUAUAUUCAUGGGCGACAAUCACCCUUAUUUAGACCGGGAAAAGAUAUGUCUAUGAAUUAUGUUUUUUAAUUUAAUACUAUUUUGUGAAUUGUGAACUUAGUGAACUUAAUGAUAAAAUAUUAAUUUUGCUGCACAUGCAACCUAUUUUUUUGUUUUCUUCCUACCUAUGCUGAUAGCCUUGAGAGGCUAUUUCAGCUUCUCCUUGACGUGUAGGUGAGCUCACGGGACUCUAACCAGAAGUGUUGCUAACACUGGCCCUAGCCAGAGCACUGCUUCGCAGAAUCUAGCACCGGAUCGGAAACGCGACCCAGUGAGAAGAUCCGGCGAGAAACGCAGUAGGCUGUGUCUAUGGGUUAAUUCACUCGUCGAACUCUCCGUCGCAAGCGACGGGUUCGACGAAGAGGUGGCCGUUAAUGGAUCGGGAGGAUCCGUAAUGAUGUAACACAGGCAGAAAAUUCUGCAAUAUGUUGAAAUGGAAGGCCGGCGUCAAGAAUUUGCGAUGUAGUCUCCACCUGGGGCCUUGAAACGAUGCAAUGUGCGUUACCCAACUAGAAAAUAUGUUUGUUGAAGAAAGGUUUUCUUAAAGGAAUAUAUUUUUGUAUUUUGCUUUUUUCUAGACUCCCUUAACUAUAGAUGAACCGUAAGUUCCUCUUUAUAAUGUUUAUACAAAGAUUGCAUUAGACAAAAUACAUGAUUAAAACUUUUA